AUGAAAAUGAAGAUUGACAUUUAGAUUUACACUUUGGUGUUUGACUCUGGGAUAGACAAUAACCAUGUGUGUGAGCAGGAUGUAGCCUGUAUAUUGCCGCAUACACUUAGUUUUUCUUCUUUCUUAUUUCCACCCACAAUCUUGCUGCUGUAGAUUGUAAAUUUCCCCAGUGUGGGACAAAUAAAGGAUAUCUUAUCUUAUCUUAUACAUUGCAAGUUCAAAAGAGAAGGUGCUAUAGACUAAUAUAAAAUGUCUGUACCCUGCUUGAAAAAAGAAAACAAUAACAGCAUUGGCCAGCAUGAUGUUAUUGUGUUUUCGUGCUGGUUUUACCAGCAGCAAAACAAAACAGCCAAGAUUCAAACAACCAAACCUUCAGUCACUGGGCAGGUUGCUCAGUGACCGAAGGUUCGGAAUGGUCUAUGGCUGUUUAUUUUAUUUAUUUAUUCUUUUGCAGGGUAGUUGAUGUCGGAGGGAGAUUAUUGAAGACGUACUAGAGCUGAUGCACUUUUUCUCUAUCCAUCCUUCCAUUUUCCAUCCAUUUGUUCUCAUUAGAUCAAGGGUGAAUUGAGCCUGUACCAGGAUAGCAGUACACCUUGGUCGUCAGUAAAUCACAACUCAACUCAACUCUAUUUAUAGAGCACUUUCAAACAGCCAUCGCUGCAUACAAAGUGCUGUACAUGGAGCAAUUUAACAUAUACAAUAAACAGUAAAACAAGGUACAUUUACACAAAUAUACACAUGGGGAUAUUUAGAGGCAUGUUUCUGUAAUACACUUGUCGCUUUUUCUACAUGCUAUAUUAAGAUUUAUCAAUUCUAAGGAUAAUCAAAUCAGAGCUAUUUUUGUCACAAAUCUUACCCGUAUUCCCCCUCUCUCAUGCAAGCGACUAUAAAUCUGAAAUGCAGCACUUAAGCAUUAGCACACGCACAAUUGAAAACUCAUUUUGGGCUGCUAUUUCUGUCUAUUGUUUUGCUGAAAAGAAGUUACAGUGUAGUUCAUGAUGAAAACUCAACCGGUAAAAUGUUGGUGGUAGUACUUACCAUUUAUGUAAAUUUAAGACAACAAUGUGGCAGCACGGUUGACCGACUUAUUAGCACGUCCGUCUCAAAGUACAUUUUGGGCUCUGGCCUUCCUGUGUUGAGUUUGCAUGGUCUCUCCAGGCCUGCGUGGGUUUUCUCUGGGUACUCCGGUUUACUCCCACAUUCCAAAAACAUGCAUGGUAAGUUAAUU